GAGUUUGAUCCUGGUUCAGAUUGAACGCUAGCGGGAUGCCUUACACAUGCAAGUCGAACGGCAGCACGGACUUCGGUCUGGUGGCGAGUGGCGAACGGGUGAGUAAUGUAUCGGAACGUGCCCAGUAGCGGGGGAUAACUACGCGAAAGCGUAGCUAAUACCGCAUACGCCCUACGGGGGAAAGCAGGGGAUCGUAAGACCUUGCACUAUUGGAGCGGCCGAUAUCGGAUUAGCUAGUUGGUGGGGUAACGGCUCACCAAGGCGACGAUCCGUAGCUGGUUUGAGAGGACGACCAGCCACACUGGGACUGAGACACGGCCCAGACUCCUACGGGAGGCAGCAGUGGGGAAUUUUGGACAAUGGGGGAAACCCUGAUCCAGCCAUCCCGCGUGUGCGAUGAAGGCCUUCGGGUUGUAAAGCACUUUUGGCAGGAAAGAAACGUCAUGGGUUAAUACCCCGUGAAACUGACGGUA
rnacentral:rRNA from 1 species